rnacentral:rRNA from 1 species
UACGAAGGGGGCUAGCGUUGCUCGGAAUGACUGGGCGUAAAGGGCGCGUAGGCGGCGUUUUAAGUCGGGGGUGAAAGCCCAGAGCUCAACUCUGGAACUGCCUUCGAAACUAGAGGACUUGGGUACGGGAGAGGUGAGUGGAAUUCCGAGUGUAGAGGUGAAAUUCGUAGAUAUUCGGAAGAACACCAGUGGCGAAGGCGGCUCACUGGCCCGUUACCGACGCUCAGGCGCGACAGCGUGGGGAGCAAACAGG